rnacentral:lncRNA from 1 species
GUCUGUUGUGAUUCUGAUGGGCUUUCCUUUGUAUGUGAUUUGUUUCUUUUCUCUCACUGCUUGUAGAAUUUUAUUCUUCUGUUGGAUUUCUGGAAUCCUAACUAUUAUAUGCCUCUGUGUAGAUUUUUUUGAUUAAGGCUAGCUGGAGUCCUAUAUGCCUCACUUAUCUGUAUGUCAAGCUCUUUUCCCCUCCUUGAGAAGUUUUCUGCCAUCAGUUCUGUGAACAUUUUUUUUAUGUCAUCUCCACUCUCUCCUGUUUCUUCUUUGACUCCAGUCAGUCUUAUGUUAUUCUUUUUUGCAUCAUCUAGCAGCUGCUGGAUUGAUUUCUCAUGUUCCCUUAUAAUUUUGAAGCAAUUUUUCUUUUUCUGUUCAUUAGUUGCAAUCUUAUCUUCUAUAUCUGAAAUUCUGUCCUCACAUUGGCUAAUUCUGCUGUGUAGGCUUUCAAUGGAAUUUUUCAUCUCCUGGAAAUCUAUUUGCAUCUGUUUUAUGGAUUCCAUUUGUUUCCUAUGUUGGAAUUCCAUCAUGUUCCUGAGCUCCUCUCUAGAUUUAUUAAUCAUGUCUUGCACUAGGAGCACAAUUUCUCCUGUUAUCUGAGAAAUUAUUUCUGAUUUCAUUUUUUCCAGAUCCCCUUUUGUUGCCAGUUCAGUGGGUCCAGGUGUUUGAGUAUCAGAGUGUUCCAUCUCAUUUCCCUUUGGGGUUGCUGUAGGUGAUCUGGAAGUCUGGUUUUGAGACUUAUUUAUGUGUUUUCUCAUUUUGACUGGGGGGGGGCGUGCAGAGGGAGUGCUGUUGGUGCUGCACAGCUCACCUCCUCUGAGCUGGGAGAGGUGGGACAGGAGCCAGGAGUGGCGGGAGGGAUGGUGGCCCAGAAGCCCCUUCCUCUGGGCCGGGAAUCAAUCCUAAAUAUUUUAAAAAUAACAUUUCCUCUUAUAUGGAAAGCCCCAAAUAUAAAGAAGUUAGAGAGCAAAAUAAAAAGUAUAUCACAGGAAACCAGGAGGAGGAUCUUUUGGAAAAGAGAAAGGGGUCAAGAGAUGGAGGGAAAGAAGGGGAAUGGCACGGAAAGGGAUGAAGAUGUGUCGUGUAUGUGCACCAACCCCCCAUGAGGAAUGUAAGCACCAUGUACCACAACACGCAUCAAUAAAACACACUGUUUUCAAUGUGCAAAAUGCUGUCAUGCCUACAAAGGAAAUUCUCUCAUUUUAAAAAUAUGUGACUGAAAUCUUGAUGCCCAGAAGUUAUUCUAAUGAUUCUUCAUGAAACAAAUAUUUGACAUAUUCUGUGUGAUUAAAAUUUUUCUCAUUGAGUUAUCUUUUCUGUAACAGAAUAUCAAUUGCAUUAUAAUAUGGAGUUGUCACAUCUCUGGAAAGUUUUCAUUGUUCACCCUAAAGCUCAAGCCUGCGUUAGGUGUGCUGUUUCAGCUGACAGUAACAAGCCUCUUGAGUCAUUGAUAGCAGUUGCAGUGUAUUAGAAAUGUGUUCUUUCACAGUUCUUGCGGGGACAAGUUCAAGAUCAAGGUAUGAACACCACUGGCUCCUUCUGAGGGCCAUGAGAAUCUGCUCCAAGCUGCUCCUUAGCCUCUGAUGGUUUGCCUUCAAUCUUGGGGUUCCUGGGCUUGAGAAGCAUCACCCCAACUCCUGGUUUCACCUUCUCAAAUUUCCCCUUUGAGGACACUAGAUGUAUUUGAUUAGAGUUUAUCUGGAUGACCUCAUUUUAACUUGAUGACCUCCGUAAAUAUCUUAUCCCCAAAUAAGGCCACAUUCUGAAGUACUGGGGGUGGGGUUAGCGUUUUGAUGUAUGGACUUUGGGAGCAUCCAUUCCUAACUGUGGAAGAGUGAAGUACACAGUUGUGAUGUCAACCCAUGGUCGAGUCGUCUAAGGGAGUCACAGCCAUGCAAGCCUUGGUAGCUAUGCACAGGGCUAGGGAUCUAUCUUUUCUGCUUUGAUGAGCACAGCACUGCUGCUAUUACUAGUUAUCCUGUGAGAUUUCCUGAAGGAGGAAAAACUCUCAGAACAGUGUGCUCCACGUGAAGCACCAACAGUGCCCUUAGCCUUGUGCCAGCCGUGCCCAGUGACGAGCAUGACUCACAGGAAAGGCAAGGACCAACCCUUUCCUGGCCCUCACUGGAUGUCUACAUUUUCCCUUUCCCCCAAAUUACAGGAAUCCAUUGGAAGGAAUUUUUAUGUGUUAGAAGAUUAUUUUUGUGAAUUUGAUCUUAAGAAAUGUCUUUAUUCAGAAAAGAGGUUUCUGUUCACUGGUAUGGCAUGAGUCUUGUUCAUUUCUAUAUUUUUGUUACUUACACUUUGGAAAUAAAAAACAAAGAAGAAAGGGCUGGGCGUGGUGGCACAUGCCUGUAACCCCAGCUCUGGGGAAGCUGAGGCAAGAACACUGCAGGUUUGAGCCCAGCCUGGGCAACCUAGCAAUAAGUGAGACCGUGUCUCAAAAUAAAGCAUAAGAAACAAAGAAGAUAAAAUAACAACAUCAUCUAGUGACUGCAUCUUUUAGAAUUAGAAAUCAAAGUGUACUAUAUAAACACCUGUAGUGGCUCUCAAACUUCGUUAUUGAAACCUACACCACAAGGCGGCGCCAGAUUAACGUAAAAUGGGCUGCCCCACAAAACAAGGAACCUGGAAGUUAACUUUAGUGUGUAAUUUAACCCAACAUAAACUUUAGGUGUUGUUUUUUUCAGAGCUGAGAAAUUGCCAGUAUUUAACAAUUAAAGAAUCUUUUUCAUAGUCUGCAUAAAACCUAACCUCCUUUCACAUCUGAGAACAAAACAGUUUCUCUGAAUCCCUCAACACACACACAUACACACAUCCGUCAAUUGCUCCAAAACUACACUGAGGUCCCAUAUUUGCAGGCCUUUUAUUACCAUGUCAUAUAUUUUAUUAAUUAGAAGGACUUGCCAAAGUAGAUGAAAUAAAGUUUGUUGACCAUGCAGUAUGCCUGUCCAAAGGUCAUGCAUUACACGCUUGCUGAAUUUAAAUCUGCAAUUGUGUUGUGGCUAACACACAGAACAUUCUGUCGCGCUGGCCCCUGCUAACACUACACUCCCACAUCCCACAGGCCUGACCACAAAGGCACUGUCACGCUUGCAAGACAAACAUGUGACCAGCUCCUGAUCCCUGUUGGUGAGAUGGACUCCCCCAGCUCUGCCCUUCUCUGUGACUAUCAAGACCUCUUAUGUGAGCUGUGGAGUGGCAGAACCCAAGUUAUAUCUGGAAUUCUUCCUUUAAGGGAGAGUGGGAAACCCAACUGUUUUACAGAACAAGAAGGCACUGUGAGGUAGAUUUUAAAUGGACCAAUCCAGAGAAUCUCGGUGUUUUUUGUUUUCUAUUUGGUUUAGUUUUCUAUAAUUAUUAAAGCUUCUGUAUACAUUAUUACUCAAAAGUCAAUGUUAUUUCUAACAAUACUGGUGAGGAGGUUGGAAUAUGCAGAGAUUCAAUAAUAUGUCGCCAUGUUUAGGGUCUGUUUGAAAUUAUGUAUCUUGAACAUUUUUGAAACUAUACUUGUUUUCAAACUAUUUAAUUGCCUAUUUUGAAACUACACACCCUGAAUAUUUUGGCAAAUAAUCAAAUUUAGUGAUAUCUUGUUGAGUAUUUCUUUACACAGGAGUCAAAUUGUACCUUAAAUAGAUUAAAUGCAGAAUUUGAAACACUGAGGAAGACAUUGGCUUCUUGGGUUAUUGCUUUCAAUUUUCCUUUUUCCCAGGAGUAUUUGACCCCUCACAAAAAGCUGGAAAACUGUGUCCUCUAGUACCUUGGACUCUAAAAUUCAACUGGAACUUCUCUUAUCCUAGAAUAAUUCAAAAUAUAACAGAAGCAGGAACAUCAAAUGGAUGAUUACUGUUGAACCCAGUGAGAGAGAACCAACCAGAGACCGAUAUUAAAUCCACACAGGAGUUUAUUACUGGCCAGGACCAGAGCUGAGCAUCAGACUCCAGCCUCAACUGGGGGUUGACAAACAUGUUUUAUACACCUUUGAGGCCAACAGUUUCUAGGCCCCCCUAUGGGAUAGAACUAGUAAAGCAAGCAAAAGGUACAGAAGCAGAACGUCCUGCUGUUAGAACAUUUGUGAAACAAUAGUUGAUUAAUUGUCAUUUCUAAAGAGACUUUCUAAGGGGAGGAGGUUUUUAAGCUUCCUCCUUCUGAGUUCAUCUAGAGGGCAGGCAGGUGGGUCAAGCAGCAAUAUGGAGUCUGUCUUGAUAACUAGGGUCUUUCAGUUACCACCUUCUCACUGGGCCCAUUAUUUAACAGUUCCCCAGGUCCUACUUAACGUGGCCCAUUAUGUCAGCCUAUGACCUUUCACAAAGCUCAUGGAAGAUGCUCCAAAAUGAGAAAGAACUGUGGGUACAAGCAAGAGAGAAACUGGAGUAGACGUGGGUUUCUUUUAUAUGUUAAACAAUUUCCCAUAUCUUUGCUUUGCAGAUCUGACUGCUGCUCUAUAAUUUCCAUUAUAUCACAGAUUGGAGGUGAGGCUGCAGUAAGAGGACUCAGCAUAUGCCACUGACUUGGCCUUGGCCUUUCAAGCCUCCCAAACAUACCGGGGAAGCCAUCCUAGAGAUGUUCAACCACCGAGCAACAUCUCUGGCCCUGUAUUUUAUUCUCUUUUGAGACAGGAUCUUGCUAAGUUGCCCAGGCUGGCCUCAAACUUGUUACCUUCUUUCCUCAGCCUCUUGAGUAGCUACGAUUACAGGUUCUAAAAAGCCUUCGAAGCUAAAGUUCAUGACAAGUAUUGGAAUGUGCACUGAUGAAUCUUUAGGAAAGAGGAGAUAACAGAGACUUGAGAAUUCUCACAUGGCCACACCUAGACUGUCUUCAUGCUGCUAACAAAGGACACCACUUACUUUUAUGAAUGAGUCACCCUCGUGGGGCUUCUGCUAUCCUCUGGCCCCUUUCAUUUCUCCUUGUUAAUUUCUAGUAUCUGGAAAUAAGGUAAUAAAUUAAAAAUGGCUCAAAGCUCCCCUACCAGUCACACUUUGCUUUUAAACAAUUGUGAAACAUUAACACUCAGGUCAUUCAGCUGCAAAGCCACCAGGAGGCAACAACCCACUGCCAUGCUGCCCCUACCCAGAUGCAGCCCAAAGCUUGGAAGCUCAUUUCACAUUCCAUCCCUGCCCUCCCUUCAGCACUCCCUUUGGAUUCCUGAGAGCCAGAAACCUGCCACAUUUACUCAAGCAAGUAGGCUCUAUAUAUAGAGGGCAUUUGAGAACUGAAAUCAUCACCCUGAAUCAUGAGUGUAGCUUUUCCUCCAGGGCCCCCUUAACUACAGGAAGUUAUUUUUGAGAGCUGCACAAGGCGUCAGGGCAAAGCAAAGAGAACAUAGUACUUGGAGGGCAAAGAGGAGCAUAAUAUAGAGACAAAAUCGACCAAUGAAAUGUGAAAAGGAGGGCAGUCUUCCGACUGUGUAGGACUCAGUGGUCGAUCAAGCAAAUGUCUCCGCAGACCCACUUUAUAAGACCCAGAGAAGUGAGAUGGAAACCAGUUGAAUUGUGUAUGUUGCAAUUUUACAAUAUUACCUCACCUUUGCCUCACAUGGAAAUUGUGCUCUCUAAUGCAUUUCACUGGAGUCAAACAAGACUUUAUUCCUGAGCUUAUUUUGUUUUUAUUUGACCACCAUAGCCAGCAUCUGGGAGCUCACGCUACUUCUUACAGUCCUGAUUUACCAUCUUGUUUAGACAGAAAACUCAGAGAGAAAUAUAUAUGUACCAGAAAAUAUCAAGAGAAGCAAAAUGAGUCGCCGGGAGAACCACAUCCUUCAAAGUUGCUUGUGAUGGUGUAAUUAUUUCCUUGAUGUUUAAGCAUAUUUCAACUCUGCAAAGAUUUAGAAUUGAUUACAGAAAUGUGUAUGUGAAUCAAAACACAGUAUUGCUAUUUGUAAUAUUGUACAUUAAAAAAAUAUUUAUACAUUUGUUAAAUUUCCAAGAAUUUGGCCAGAGUAGCACAUCAGCUUUGUAUAUCAAAUUUAAAAUGUGUAACUGAAUAACUUAGACUUGUGAUUUUAAAAUGAAAUCUUACUAAGUUUACACUUUGAAAGCUUUCUGUCCUCCUUGCUCAGCCUCCCAGAUUGUUGGUGUUAUAGAUACGAGCCACCGCAUCUGGCU